GCAUGGCCGAAUUCUGUUUUACUCUUGAAAUAGUAAAUGCAGUCAGACACCAUGCUAAAUUAUUAUUUUCACACACUGACUCAACAGGAUAAGAGUGCUAAUUAUGUGCCUUAAUCAUAUGUCAGAGUGAAUACAGAA
rnacentral:snoRNA from 1 species